GACNCGGAAGGACAUUACUGGUUCGAAAUAAUUAGGAGCCAGCAGGAUUGCUGGGCCAAUGCUCUCACAUUNAAGUGGUCCGGCAAUACUCUGGCCAAGUGAGCGUUGCGCUUUGGGCUCUUUUUCAAGUAUUACAACUUUGAAAAAUGAAAAGGCAGUUGGAGAGCUACUGGGGUGUAAGAAAUCCUCAGGAGUCUCGACAGCUGGUACAGCGGUCAAAUUCCAUGAAGACGGAGCAUAGAUAGCUAACCCCUGCGUCGUUGCACAAAAAAAAAAAAGAGUGCCUUACAAAGGGACGCUUUGCUCUCGAGAGGUCAGCUGCGUACUUGGAUUAUCUCUAGCGAGAUCCAGCCUAUUCUCUACCACACGCGAGGUCUCAAAUCUGGCCCCUGAUCUAAGCGUGCUAUUCUCUACUGUAGAUAAAGUGACAGCCACUGCGAGGACCCCUUUGCUCAAGGGAAACCCGCCGUGGCGUAGUGGCAAAUGGCUCCCACCGUCCUUCAGGCGUAUAUCGCCUGCGGAGUUGGUUUAGGUCUUCGGAUCAGGAGGGAUGCCAUCACUGAAAAGUCUGCCCGUCGCUUUUUCUUUACCCGAGCGCGUUAAUGGACCAAGGGUACGGUACCUCGAGGCAAUUUGAAAUGAGUUGCCUCUGUCGUGUGUUUAUAUAUCUAUUUGCCUUGUAGCCCGCGGGUUUUCUGAACCUUUGCGUAUGGGCGGGCGUCUACUCUCACUUGGUCAGCACUUGCUGAACGAUUUUUCUCCCUUGGGGAAUCGAUCCUAUGCCAACUCCUGGACCCCCUGUUUAUGUGUACCCUUCGUUUCCUCGGCAGGCUUGCCUGCCAAUGGGGACUCUAACAAACUCUUUUUGUAGUUGCAGUGUCUGUAGAAUUAUCAAUCUUAUUAAAACUUUCAACAACGGAUCUCUUGGUUCUGGCAUCGAUGAAGAACGCAGCGAAAUGCGAUAAGUAGUGCGAAUUGCAGAAUUCAGUGAAUCAUCGAAUCUUUGAACGCACAUUGCGCCCUUUGGUAUUCCAUAGGGCAUGCCUGUUCGAGCGUCGUUUCAAACCUUCAAGCCUAGCUUGAUGUUGGGUGUUUGUCCCGCGUCCCGCGUGGACUCGCCUUAAAACCAUUGGCAGCAGACAUCGUGGCUAAUUGCGCAGCAGAUACGCGCCUGACGUUGGAUGUCGGCUCUCCACGAGUGUAGCCUUUUAUUUUCAGUUUGACCUCGGAUCAGGUAGGGAUACCCGCUGAACUUAAGCAUAUCAAUAAGGCGGAGGAA
rnacentral:rRNA from 1 species